GACGAACGCUGGCGGCGUGCUUAACACAUGCAAGUCGAACGGAAGGGCCCUGCUUUUGUGGGGUGCUCGAGUGGCGAACGGGUGAGUAACACGUGAGUAACCUGCCCUUGACUUUGGGAUAACUUCAGGAAACUGGGGCUAAUACCGGAUAGGAGCUCCUGCUGCAUGGUGGGGGUUGGAAAGUUUCGGCGGUUGGGGAUGGACUCGCGGCUUAUCAGCUUGUUGGUGGGGUAGUGGCUUACCAAGGCUUUGACGGGUAGCCGGCCUGAGAGGGUGACCGGCCACAUUGGGACUGAGAUACGGCCCAGACUCCUACGGGAGGCAGCAGUGGGGAAUAUUGCACAAUGGGCGGAAGCCUGAUGCAGCAACGCCGCGUGCGGGAUGACGGCCUUCGGGUUGUAAACCGCUUUCGCCUGUGACGAAGCGUGGGUGACGGUAAUGGGUAAAGAAGCACCGGCUAACUACGUG
rnacentral:rRNA from 1 species